AGUGAACGCUGGCGGUAGGCCUAACACAUGCAAGUCGAACGGCAGCACAGUAAGAGCUUGCUCUUACGGGUGGCGAGUGGCGGACGGGUGAGGAAUACAUCGGAAUCUACUUUUUCGUGGGGGAUAACGUAGGGAAACUUACGCUAAUACAGCAUACGACCUACGGGUGAAAGCAGGGGAUCUUCGGACCUUGCGCGAUUGAAUGAGCCGAUGUCGGAUUAGCUAGUUGGCGGGGUAAAGGCCCACCAAGGCGACGAUCCGUAGCUGGUCUGAGAGGAUGAUCAGCCACACUGGAACUGAGACACGGUCCAGACUCCUACGGGAGGCAGCAGUGGGGAAUAUUGCACAAUGGGCGCAAGCCUGACCCAGCCAUACCGCGUGGGUGAAGAAGGCCUUCGGGUUGUAAAGCCCUUUUAUUGGGAAAGAAAAGCAGCAGGUUAAUACCCCGCUGUUCUGACGGUACCCAAAGAAUAAGCACCGGCUAACUUCGUG
rnacentral:rRNA from 1 species